UAGGGAAUCUUCCGCAAUGGGCGAAAGCCUGACGGAGCAACGCCGCGUGAGUGAUGAAGGUCUUCGGAUCGUAAAACUCUGUUAUUAGGGAAGAACAAAUGUGUAAGUAACUAUGCACGUCUUGACGGUACCUAAUCAGAAAGCCACGGCUAACUACGUGCCAGCAGCCGCGGUAAUACGUAGGUGGCAAGCGUUAUCCGGAAUUAUUGGGCGUAAAGCGCGCGUAGGCGGUUUUUUAAGUCUAAUGUGAAAGCCCACGGCUCAACCGUGGAGGGUCAUUAGAAAAUGGAAAACUUGGGUGCAGAAGGGGAAAGUGGAAUUCCAUGUGUGGGGGUGAAAUGCGCAGAGAUAUGGAGGAACACCAGUGGCGAAGGCGACUUUCUGGUCUGAAACUGACGCAGAUGUGCGAAAGCGUGGGGAUCAAACAGG
rnacentral:rRNA from 1 species